rnacentral:rRNA from 1 species
CUACGGGUGGCAGCAGUGGGGAGUUUUGCGCAAUGGGCGAAAGCCUGACGCAGCAACGCCGCGUGAAGGAUGAAGGCCUUUGGGUCGUAAACUUCUGUCAGAGGGGAAGAAAUACUCGAAAGAGAGCUGACGGUACCCUCAAAGGAAGCACCGGCUAACUCCGUGGCCAGCAGCCGCGGUAAUACGGAGGGUGCAAGCGUUGUUCGGAAUUAUUGGGCGUAAAGCGCAUGUAGGCGGACUGUUAAGUCUGGUGUGAAAGCCCGGGGCUCAACCCCGGAAGUGCAUUGGAUACUGGCAGUCUUGAGUAUGGGAGAGGAAAGUGGAAUUCCGAGUGUAGGAGUGAAAUCCGUAGAUAUUCGGAGGAACACCAGUGGCGAAGGCGGCUUUCUGGACCAAUACUGACGCUGAGAUGCGAAAGCGUGGGUAGCAAACAGGAUUAGAUACCCCCGUAGUC